rnacentral:rRNA from 1 species
UACGUAGGGGGCAAGCGUUGUCCGGAUUUAUUGGGCGUAAAGAGCGUGUAGGCGGCCAAACAGGUCAGCUGUGAAAACUCGAGGCUCAACCUCGAGACGUCGGUUGAAACCGUUUGGCUAGAGUCCGGAAGAGGAGAGUGGGAUUCCCGGUGUAGCGGUGAAAUGCGCAGAUAUCGGGAAGAACACCCGUGGCGAAGGCGGCUCUCUGGGACGGUACUGACGCUGAGACGCGAAAGCGUGGGGAGCGAACAGG